rnacentral:rRNA from 1 species
GACGAACGCUGGCGGCGUGCCUAAUACAUGCAAGUCGAACGACUGGUGGAUGGGUGAGUAAAACGUGGGAACCUACCCAUCAGAGGGGGAUAACACGUGGAUACUGGUGCUAAUACCGCAUACUGGUGGAGGGACCUGCGGUGCUUUAGGUAGUUGGUGGGGUAACGGCUCACCAAGGCAACGAUGCAUAGCCGGCCUGAGGGGAUGAUCGGCCACACUGGAACUGAGAAACGGUCCAGACUCCUACGGGAGGCAGCAGUGGGGAAUAUUGCACAAUGGGCGCAAGCCUGAUGCAGCCAUGCCGCGUGGAUGAAGAAGGCCUUCGGGUUGUAAAGUACUUUCAGCGGGGAGGCGUUACCCGCAGAAGAAGCACCGGCUAACUCCGUGCCAGCCGCCGCGGUAAUUC